UAAUUAAAGACAUACUCAGGAACUAAAAUUUUGAGGUUGUCACCUAAACAGACUCUGAUUACAAUUUAAUCAACAUUCUUUGUUCCUCUUUCUGAAAUAAAAGUGUUCUAAAAGUAUACUUUAAAACUAUUUUGGAGUUUGUACAUGAAACCCUGAUCCACGUCAGUAAUCACUCAAAUUCUUAAAUAUUAAGCUUCUGUAUUAUCUGGCAUAUUACCAUAUAAUUUUUUAUCUAAUUUAGGAUAAAAUUUUUAUCCAUUUUUUUGAAAAUCAGGCAAAUAACCCUCCAAAAGAAAGAUCCCUGAUCCAUUUACACUCCCAUCAAGAGUAUAUGG
rnacentral:lncRNA from 1 species